GAUCCUGGCUCAGGAUGAACGCUGGCGGCGUGCUUAACACAUGCAAGUCGAACGGAACUACUUUGAUGAGAUUCUUCGGAAUGAAGUUUUAGUGACUGAGUGGCGGACGGGUGAGUAACGCGUGGGUAACCUGCCUCACACAGGGGGAUAACAGUUGGAAACGGCUGCUAAUACCGCAUAAGCGCACAGUACCGCAUGGUACAGUGUGAAAAACUCCGGUGGUGUGAGAUGGACCCGCGU
rnacentral:rRNA from 1 species